UACGUAGGGUCCGAGCGUUGUCCGGAUUUAUUGGGCGUAAAGAGCUCGUAGGCGGCUCGGUAAGUCGGAUGUGAAAACUCGGGGCUCAACCCCGAGACGCCAUCCGAUACUGCCGUGGCUUGAGUCUGGUAGGGGAACACGGAAUUCCUGGUGUAGCGGUGAAAUGCGCAGAUAUCGGGAGGAACACCGGUGGCGAAGGCGGUUCUCUGGGCCUUACCUGACGCUGAGGCGCGAAAGCUAGGGUAGCAAACGGG
rnacentral:rRNA from 1 species